rnacentral:rRNA from 1 species
GAUGAACGCUGGCGGCGUGCCUAAUACAUGCAAGUCGAGCGAAUGGAUUAAGAGCUUGCUCUUAUGAAGUUAGCGGCGGACGGGUGAGUAACACGUGGGUAACCUGCCCAUAAGACUGGGAUAACUCCGGGAAACCGGGGCUAAUACCGGAUAACAUUUUGAACCGCAUGGCUCGAAAUUGAAUGGCGGCUUCGGCUGUCACUUAUGGAUGGACCCGCGUCGCAUUAACUAGUUGGUGAGGUAACGGCUCACCAAGGCAACGAUGCGUAGCCGACCUGAGAGGGUGAUCGGCCACACUGGGACUGAGACACGGCCCAGACUCCUACGGGAGGCAGCAGUAGGGAAUCUUCCGCAAUGGACGAAAGUCUGACGGAGCAACGCCGCGUGAGUGAUGAAGGCUUUCGGGUCGUAAAACUCUGUUGUUAGGGAAGAACAAGUGCUAGUUGAAUAAGCUGGCACCUUGACGGUACCUAACCAGAAAGCCACGGCUAACUACGUGCCAGCCGCCGCGGUAA